ensembl:lncRNA
GUUAGGAAUACAGUAUACAGCCCCUGGUUUCUAAACUGUCUUCUGUUUCUGUAGAGUGCUUUUAAUUAUGGAGAACCUUUUUACCGCUGAUCUAAUUUUGUUUUCCCAACAAGGCAGGUUGCGAUGAUUCACUUACCAACCUGUUUCAUGGGUGAUUAAACUGAGGUCCAAGGAGCCCAAGUCAGCUGCCCCAUGAUCUUUACAGCUUGAUAGUUGUGAGUCUGGAGCUGGAGCCCAGACCUCUGGACCUGGUCACAUCUGCUCCUGUCUCUCUAGUAGUCCCUGCUGCCCUGUUCUUAAGCCCAGUUUUGAAGUGUGACUCUAAUAGCUUACCAGACUUCCUCUGUCACUAGCCCAUUACCCUCAUUUAUCUUCUCUAUUGCACAUAUGCACAAUUUAUGAAGUUUUCUCAGUGUACUUCCUGUUGAUCUGUGCUAGAUUACAAGUGCCAGGAGAGCAGAAAAGUUGUCUGUCUUGUCAUCUCUCUUUUCUUUUCCAGGACCUGCACAUUGUUGUCACUCAGUAAUUAUCAUUAUAUAAUAGUUCUUGAUAAAUGGAGUCUUAGGGAAAGAAGUCUCUAAAAGGUCUUAGUUGUAUUUCUUUAUUCUCUUAACUAACUUGGCACAGAGUAUAUUCUUAAUAGAUUUUAUUAUUAAUACAUUUUAUUGGUAUUGAAAGAAGGAAGGUGUCUUCCUCAAUGCCCCCUGCCCCCAGUUACUUAGAAGCAGAAUUAGGCCCAGAACCAGCUCCCAUUGCUUAACACCAGUAUGCUAUUAUCCCCGUCAUUACUGUCAAGGACUUGGGAAAGCAAGCAAUUCAUCUUGUGAUGCACCAGAACCUAUAGUUUUUAAUAGAUUUUAUUCAUGUGCUUCAAUUUUAGUCAAUGUCUUUUAAACCAUUUUUUUUUUUAAACCAAUGCUGGACUUCCCUGAUGGCUCAGUGCCAAUACAGGGGAUAUGGGUUCAAUCCCUGGUCUGGGAAGAUCCCACAUGCCAUGGAGGAACAAAGCCCAUGUGCCACAGCUACUGAGCCUGUGCUCUAAAGUCCAGGAACCACAACUACUGAGCCCUUGUGCUGCAACUCCUGGAGCCCGCAUAUCCUAGAGCCUGUGCUUAGCAACAAGAGAAGCCACCGCAAUGAGAAGCUCACUCAUCGCAACUAGAGAGUAGCCCCUGCUUGCCACAGCUAGAGAAAAGCCUGUGCAGCAAUGAAGACCUAGAACAGCCAAUAAAUAAAUAAAAUUAUCAAUAAAACUCUUGAAAAAUAGAAAAAAAAAAUGCCUCAGACUCC